rnacentral:misc_RNA from 1 species
GAGCCCAUUGGAGAGUCUUGCAUCGUCAGCUGUUCGAACCGCUAACAAGGCAAAAGCAAAACUCAUUGUCGUGUUGACUCGUGGUGGAACCACAGCCAAGUUGGUUGCCAAGUAUAGGCCAGCUGUUCCGAUCCUCUCAGUUGUCGUUCCUGUCUUAACUACCGAUUCUUUUGAUUGGACCUGCAGCGACGAAUCCCCAGCCAGACACAGCCUGAUCCACAGAGGGUUGAUUCCUAUAUUGGCUGAAGGAUCUGCUAAGGCCACUGAUGCUGAAUCCACAGAAGUGAUACUGGAAGCUGCUCUGAAAUCUGCUAUGGGGAAGGGACUGUGCAAACCUGGUGAUGCCAUCGUUGCACUUCACCGGAUCGGAGCUGCCUCUGUUAUCAAGAUAUGCAUUGUGAAAUGAAUAAAAAAAACAAGCAAAUUUCACAUCGGCUCCUUCAUCUAGAAGUUGGUCAGGUGUAUUCUCUAUCCUUUUGCUAUUUAUUAUAUAAGUAUACUUAUUUUUAGUUUCUCACCUAAAGAGGGUUGAACCGGUAAUUUUGAUUUUCUUAGUUAUGAAAGAGGGGUGGGUACUCCCUUGAUUUUUUUUGUUUGGACUGCUUGCUGUGUGACUUUAAAGAAGUAGGGGAAGUAAAGAAUUGAAUCAACUUUCAUAAGCUUUUGUUCUUGAAAUUCCCAAAAUUUUGUGCCCUAAUUUGUGUUUGUAGAACUCAAAAUCCAUUUGUACUCAUGUGACAUCUGAAAG